CACCAUCGAAUCGAACGUCCAGGGAGGCACUGAGUCCACUUGCAAUAACAUCAGCAACAGCGGAGAAGCUUCGGCUCUGACAUCCGACGGAGAUGGAGAGAAAUCGCUGGAGUUAGUGGCCGAGUUGACUGAUAGAGGAACUAAAGCUCUUAAGGAAAGUGAUUAUGGCGANGUGCUUCAGCCGUGCCCUAGAAAUCAGGGUUUCACACUAUGGUGAACUUGCCUUUGAAUGCUUAAAUGCGUACUACCAAUAUGGACGUGCACUAUUGUACAAAGCUCAAGAAGAGGCCGAUCCACUGGCUACAGUACCGAAGAAGGAUAGUGAAUCUAAACAAGACUCUGAUAAAGAUGGAUCUGUUAAAAAUUCAAUAAAUGGAGAAUCUUCCACUGCUUCUGUUUCAAGUAAUGUAGAAGAUGGGAAGCUCAAUUCCAAUAAUCAAGGAGCAGCUUAUGAUGCAUCUGGUGGGAAAGAUCAGGAAGAAGAAGAUGAGGAUAGUGAUGAUGAAGACUUGGCAG
rnacentral:misc_RNA from 1 species